AUUGAACGCUAGCGGGAUGCCUUACACAUGCAAGUCGAACGGCAGCGCGGACUUCGGUCUGGCGGCGAGUGGCGAACGGGUGAGUAAUGUAUCGGAACGUGCCCAGUAGCGGGGGAUAACUACUCGAAAGAGUAGCUAAUAUCGCAUACGCCCUACGGGGGAAAGGGGGGGAUCGCAAGACCUCUCACUAUUGGAGCGGCCGAUAUCGGAUUAGCUAGUUGGUGAGGUAAAGGCUAACCAAGGCGACGAUCCGUAGCUGGUUUGAGAGGACGACCAUCCACACUUGGACUGAGACACGGCCCAGAAUCCUACGGGUGGCAGCAGUGGGGAAUUUUGGACAAUGGGGGAAACCCUGAUCCAGCCAUGCCGCGUAUGCGAUGAAGGCCUUCGGGUUGUAAAGCACUUUUGGCAGGAAAGAAAUCGCACGGAUUAAUACUCUGUGUGGAUGACGGUACCUGCAGAAUAAGCACCGGCUAACUACGUGCCAGCCGCCGCGGUAA
rnacentral:rRNA from 1 species